AAAUUGAGAUAAAGAUUUUGGAAAACAUAGAUACAUGUACAUCAUCGCUUAGCACUUUGAGAAAGAGAUAAUAAUAGAAUCAUAUUUACCCCAAACUAAUUCAUGGGUGAUUGAUGAAAACAUCAACCAUUGUUUCAUUUCAUAAAGCAACACUGGGUGAGCACUAAAUAGACGGAACCAAAUGAUGUGAGGUUCAUGAUGGGUUCAUCGUUUCCAUUCAGUUUACACACCAUACGAAGAGGAAAAAGAAGUUAUUAAAAAAGUACAAGCGAUGCCGUCAGUUGGAUAUAAAGAAACGAGAGCUAGUACGUAUUACCACACCACCACAAUUUAACCCGAUUAGGCAAACAUCAAGAGUCCUGCAAAGACCGAAUCAAUCGGUACAUGUCUCGCUGAAAAACUUUAUAGUUGAAUGUUGUCUCCAUUUCUUGUGAUAUGAGUUUCAAGUUUUGAUCUUUUUUAAAAUCGUCAUCAAUCAUUUCAUCAUUUCAUCUUUUUGUUUGUUUGUUUUUUUAAUUUUUAAACAAUAUCGAACUUUAAUUACUGGAGUUCAGCUGACUGGAGAUGUAAAAGUCUUUAUCGUUUUUUGUUGACAAUCAUACUCGAAAAAAAAGAAAUCAAACCAGAAUUGAACACGAAGUAUGACCCGAAUUGCUCUAGUACACGUGAUGUCGUCAUGGCAAGAAAUUUUGGUGAUGUGGGUCUACUAAUCCAAUAAUAGCGACUUCCUUACUUAUUAAGAGACUUGAAGGCAGUUCAAAAUACCUGUGUCUGCUCACAUAUGCAGCUUCCGGAAUCUGUUUUCAUCCUACAUAUUCUUACCCUUCUACUACUCAUUCACUUUAUGUUUACCCUAGCAAAAUGAAGUAACAUUGUUUAAAAAGAAUUGGUCGAUAGCAUCAAGACUAUCAAGCUUAAAUACAUUCAGUAACGAAAUUAGUCAUAUAAAGUCUUUCGUAAUACACAAAUUUUUUAGCGCACACGUUAUUACUGCUUAAAGCUCGUUUCUCUUCAUCCAUUUUACACAGGUAGUGUGAUCACGAAGAAUUACUAAUAAAACAUUGAGGCGUUAUGAGAUCUAUGUCGCUUCGCAAAACUGUAUCUUAGUACGACAUAAAGUUGCUUUUGGACUUGAACGUUGACUAAAUAAAUGUGUUGCCUGAUUGUACAUGAUAUAUUAUCAGCUUUGUCAAGGGAAAAACCGAGACCGAAGAAAGUUAAAACUGAGAGAAAAAUUCUAGAUAUGCUACUAUAAGUGCUCUUUGUCAUGAGAGAAACAUGAUUCUACGUGUCUGAUUCACGCAAAGGAUGCAUCAAUAUACCUUCUUUUAAUUACAGGAUGAUGCAUUUUUAAUUUGUUAUUGUUGUGAAUUCUAUGUCAACUGUUUGCUAAUAUAGGCGGCGCAGAGAUAUGAAAACCAAACCGUGACAAUACACCUAAGCUAAAAGGUCAACGCACGCCUAAACUAGCAGCUCAACUCAUGAUUGGACUAAUAAUUUAAAACUAAAACUAAAACCUAAACCUAUUUUACAAAUAAAACUCAUAAUUAGGCUAACAACCCUACCCAUCAACUAACGACUUGACGGUAUGCUAUUCCUUCUUUUUUUUAAAGCUUCACUACCAUCGAAAUAUAUAUAACAGUAGUAAAAUUGUAAACUUUUAUUUUUAUACCAUAGUAGUAUGGCUAUGAUUGGAAGGUUGUAGUGUCAGUCAAGUUGGAAAAACUGUUGGCACUUUUUUUCUGAAUCAAUGGAAUUCUUAUCAAACACAUGCAAACGUAUAAAGAAGACUUGAAUAGAUAAUCUUUGAAUUCAAACAAAUCCUAGUCAACUGAACAACGCAUCUACCUCAGCAGUCCUUGGGAAAUGUAUAAAUAGGCAAGCAUUAAACUUUUAUAUAUAAAACCAUCAAGAUCUCUAUUUUUAACUCGGUGGUUUCUUUCACAAGACUUACUUCAAGAACGACAACACAUCCUGACAGUUAAUUCAUUAAUACUAAUACUAUCGAGGAUUCUGUCAUCCAAGUGGAAUGAACAUGGGCAUCAAAGGAAUGUUUCCUCAAAGUGAGAACUAUAGUGUUGCAAGCGAAUACUUGGUCGCUUAGAACAAAACGAAUUACUGUCAUUAGGAUAUGCUCAAAAGUGUGGCGCUAUAUCUUGUAUCUAUUGCUACGUUCAUUCAUUGAUCCAACAGCAUGGGUAUAGAAAGAAGACGAUAAGCAGGAGUUGCGCAAACGAAGUUAUGGAGUUUCUUGCAUGCAUGCAUGUUUUGGCAUAAAGCUGGUACUUCGAAAUAUGCCUAUGAAAUCUCUACCUGCUUUGCACCCUAAAUAUAACGUGUCGUCUUGUAGCUGCAUGUGAAUUACAACGAUUGAUAGAUGAAAAACAAAUCGACUUGUUGCCCAUUUCAUCGUUUCAAACGACUGGUAGUGUUGCUUGUGUCCAUAUCCAUGCUGUGUCCAUAUCCAUACUAUGUCCGUGUGUUUUGCUUUAUUACACUUGGUCAAAGAAAUCUAUAUGAUGUUCUUUACGAAACCCACAAAGUCAUUAGGGAUAUCAUUCGAACAGAAGGGUAUGUAUGCAAAAUACACUACAAGGACUAAGCCCAAGCACCGUAUUGUUUCAGUCUCGAAGUAAUUCUAUGUACCCGUGCAUUGGAGAUGCGUUUAAUUAACAUGGUGCGAUUGGACUUGAGUGAGCUGACAGCACUGUAUGAGGGUCUGUUUGCCAAGAUUCAGGACUUGUUGAAAGAGUUAUUACAACUACAACUAUAACUAUAACUACAACUAUAACUACAACGAUAAGAACUAUCACUACUCUGAAGACAACGAUGUGUUUUCUCAAGAUGAUAACGGAUCUAGCUUCGCCAUCAAUAAGUAUGAGGCAAAGGAGUCCAUCUUUGAUGAAACAUCCAUUUGCCUGUUGUACAUUUUUGCAGGACAACCAGCCUGAGCACAAGAGACAUGGUGUACUAGACUUUGUGCGGAAUGUCUACUUCAAAACUCGCAUCUUUAUAUCUGAUAUAUAGAGAUAUAGAGAUAUAGAGAUAUAGAGAGAGGCUGAUGAUUUAUAAACACAAACGAUAAGACUUGUAACAUGAAGUUUAUCGAAAAAGUCAAUCUUUAAAUUCCUUUCUGAACCUCUCUGUUAUGUCAGUGCUUCGGUACCAUGCUUUUAGUGCGGUCAUUUAAAGGCAUAGCGAUGAUAGUUCUAAAGUUACUGUAUUGAUCAAUUGGAAGAACAUCCAAAUAAAAAAAAGCAUGCAAAAUGCUAGUAUUAUCAGUAACUGCAAAUAAAAAAAGAUAACAAAAAUUUACAGGAUCAUCGAGAAGAGUAGAUACUGAUAAUAUUGAGAUCCACAGCACUCAACAACAGUCUUGGAUUUAUUUAGCCAUUUGCUUAACUUACUGUCUCAACAAUAUUGUUGUUUGGCAUCGCCAUAAAUAUAUGACCUAGAAGUAAAAUUCGUGUUGUCGAAACAAUUCCAAUCGGUUCACUUUUCUCUUUCAAAAGUAUAUCGAAGUAGGAAUGAUGUACUCCCAACUGCGGAUGGAAAAAGUUCUUUAUCGAUUUUAAUAUCUGGUGUUGUGGAAAAAAACGAAAUACGAUCAAAAUUGAGAAAAUUAAGAAAGAAUAUGAAUAUGGUUUUACUUAUUUUACUACCCAUGAUGUCGUUGGUUAAAAACAUGAUGUUAAGGGUGAACCGCAGCAUAUUGGUCGUUUUUAAUUAAGGAAUUGAAUGACUUUCAAAGAUGCACAGUAAUCCUUCCUUAAUCACCAUUUUAGAUUUAUUAAUUUCAACAUACGCUCUCCAUGUACUUGGAAUCGAAUUGAGAACUUGUUAUGCCACAAAUGAAUAUCUUUUUAUUGAGUAACAUCGUUAAUAAAGCAAAUGCUUCACGGUAUUUUUUGAAAUCUUUGACAGUAUUUGUUCAGCUGGGAUGGAUGAUAAUUUGACGAGGCACAUUCCUUAUACGCAAACGAAAGAUACAAUUUCGCUUUGGCAAAACAUUGCAAAUGUUGCAAUUGUCCCAAUUAUAUAUGCAUCAUUAAAUUUGCUUAGCAUUACUUUUUCCUUGGUAGUUACAUUCAGUGCCAAACAACCGCUUUAACCUUUCAUACAAAACUUUUGUGUAUUCACAGAAGCAUCCACUGGGCGGGAAACCAUUUUUCUUGUUUCUGCAUGUAUUCUUAGAAGAGAUUUAAGCUUUCCCUUGAAUUUUCGAAUGUUGAUAAAAACAAAAUAAUAGACUUUGGAAAGGUGAUUCAAUGAAUAAACAUGAAACGUUCACCGUACAUUAAUUAAGCAUCCUUUUCGACCACCCUGACUUGUUCUCUCAUCACAUCUUGAUAACCAUUUACACGAGAGAUUUAAAUGAAGAAGAAUGAAAAAUUCACUUUGACGAGUCUUGGAACCCCUAACUUGGAAAGGCACAGAUCAUGAUUGCUACAAAAGCAUUUGCACUCGGUUUCAGCUAUAGGAAGUGUGAUUGGUCGUACAUGAUGGAUUGACAUUCUCGUCUAUUUGGAUCACAUACAGAAGACAAGCCAAGUCAGAGCAGACAAUACGUAUGCGAUUGAGACAUUAUUUUUGUGAAAUUUAUGAUUCUUCCACAUGUUUGAAUGAUGUAGAAGAUGUACAGGAAACUUUUAAUGAUGAUACGAUAUCGGUUCAAUCACAAUUCAUAAGCGAAACGAAUGCCAAAUACUAAUACUAUAUAUCCAUGAAUCAUUUACCAAUAGUAUUUUUACUGUUCGUGAAUGCUGAGAAAGUUUAUGUCUAAUGUAUUAGCUGUGUCAACCAUUUAUAGUGUGAAGCCACUUUCCACUUGCAACGCUAAGGAUACCUAGACGCACAAAUACAUUAUGCUAGUGGCACGGCCAAAAUUAUUUACUCCAAAGUCUUUAUCCUCUUCGUUUAUAUCGCUAACAAGAAAUCGUAGUCACAAAUGUACAUACGUUGAAACAUUUGAACAACGUACAACAAGCCAAUAAUGACAAGAAUGGAGAUGAAAGUGGUGAUGGUUAGUGGUAGUCGUGGUAGUAAUGGAAGUGGUAAGUGGAAGUGGUAAGUGGAAGUGGUAAGUGGAAGUGGUAAGUGGAAGUGGUAAGUGGAAGUGGUAAGUGGAAGUGGUAAGUGGAAGUGGUAAGUGGAAGUGGUAAGUGGAAGUGGUGGUGGUGGUGGUAGUGCUUGUGGUAAGUGUAAGUGGUAAGUGGAAGUGGUAGUGGUAGUGGUGCUGUGCUGAUGCUGGCGCCGAUACUGGUGAUGAUGUUGAUGCCUAUACUGACACUAGUACUGACACUAGAUGACACUAGUACUGGUACUAAUGGUACCAUUCAACUUGGCAAGUAUAAGACUUAUGUGUGUAAGUGGUAAAAAAUCAAUGAGUAAACUCCACUAAGAAAAUUUCACAACUCCGUUGAUUCUUUUGAGUAUACAAACAUGAACGUUCAAGUUUUACCUUUGUUAAUUCAAUUCUAAUUAUACUGGUUUGUACUUGCUAAGCAUGUCCUGUUCACUUAUCUAAUUCGUUUCAAUUGCGGCAACUCUGGUCCGAUUUAUAAUUCGAAGGACUGAGUUUUUACCCUUUGGAUAAAGUUUUUCAACAUACUUACAAUGAUUAUGGUCUCCACUCCUGACGUAGGUCCAUGUGGUAAUAGAACACAAACUUCAAAAUCUCAUCACUAUAUUAUACUUGGUACAACAUGCAAUACCGAUUGUAUAUACCGAAUACAGUUUCCUAUUGCAAUGAAUGUGAUUUAAUCAUUUUAUGGGAGUUUUUUCAUUCAAAACUGCUUUAAAUCUAAAAACUCUUCUUUAUUCUUGACACUCGUAUAUGUUGUCUGAUAUUCCUAUUCGUGUUUCAAUAACGAAGUUUACUUUCAUUCAAAUAAAUAGAACCAAUCAAGUUUACUAGUGCUUAUUUUUUUCUUUUUUAAUAAAAAGAAUGAAUAUUAGGUGUAUGAUAUGAAUACGUUUUUGUUUGUUUGUUUGCAAAUUAAAAUUAAAAACAACAAAAAAUUAAAGCUACUGAUUUAACUUUGCUUAUUCCAUAACACUUCUUACUCAAUCUCACAU